UUAGAUUAGUUGCGAGGCAGCGUCUUCCGAGUAGGACGUGUGGCAAAGACGGGGCUAGGUUAUCAAGGAAAGGAUUUUCUCCGCAGAGCUUUAAAAAUAGGAUCGCUCCACCGGGGAGAGAAAAGCGACGAGCAGGCUGCGAGGCCCCGGUGGACAACGACUGUGCCUGACGUGAUUAUCUUCAAUCUACCCCAAGGGCUAGCAGUGAAUGGCCAUAACUCCUCUCUGCGAUGGGUAUUUAGAAAGCUGGACCUGAGAAGCUCCCCAACAGAAGAGACAAAUGAGGUCUGCAAAGCCUGUUUGUGCAAGAGUUGUGUGACUCUUUUUUUUUUAAUUUUUUUCUGGGAGAGAGAUUUGUAUGACACCAGACUAUUUUGUUCCAAAGUUGGCCUGCUUACUCUCUCACCCCAAAGUCAUGGUCUUCUGGUUGCUGACUAGAUAUGACCAGUGCAAACCAGCUAUGCAAAUAAAGACACAAAAAAAAAAACAACCAAAAAAACACUGUCCUAAUCUUCCCUGACCUGUUAACUGACUAAUGCUGUGAAUCACUCCCUUCUCCUCCAGAAGCUAUCAGGCUUUGGUUUUGCUGACAGGGUCCUUUAACUCAGUUGUCAUG